rnacentral:rRNA from 1 species
GUUACUGGGAAUGACUGGGCGUAAAGGGCGCGUAGGCGGUUUGUUUAGUUAGGCGUGAAAUUCCUGGGCUCAACCUGGGGGCUGCGCUUAAUACAGGCAGACUAGAGUGUGAAAGAGGGUCGUGGAAUUUCCAGUGUAGAGGUGAAAUUCGUAGAUAUUGGGAAGAACACCGGUGGCGAAGGCGGCGACCUGGUCCGAUACUGACGCUGAGGCGCGAAAGCGUGGGGAGCAAACAGG